CGGAUUGGUCUGGCCUCGAAGCGGUUCCUGGAAAUAGCCCUCCAUGAGAUCGUACCCUAAACCGACACAGGUGGACUGGUAGAGCAUACCAAGGCGCUUGAGAGAACUGCGUUGAAGGAACUCGGCAAAAAUGCCUCCGUAACUUCGGGAGAAGGAGGCCCGUCUGCGGGCAACCGUGGGCGGGGGGCACAAACUAGGGGGUGGCGACUGUUUACUAAAAACACAGGUCUCUGCGAAGCCCAAAGGCGACGUAUAGGGACUGACGCCUGCCCGGUGCUGGAAGGUUAAAGGGAGGGGUGCAAGCUCCGAACUGAAGCCCCAGUAAACGGCGGCCGUAACUAUAACGGUCCUAAGGUAGCGAAAUUCCUUGUCGGGUAAGUUCCGACCUGCACGAAUGGCGUAACGACUUCCCCGCUGUCUCCAACGCAGACUCAGCGAAAUUGAAUUCCCCGUGAAGAUGCGGG
rnacentral:rRNA from 1 species